AUAAAAAGGUGAAAAGAAUUUUAACAGUAUUAUAAUUUAAAACGAUACAUAUAUAAUAUAACACCGUAUAUAAUCAUAACAAAACUGACUAAUAAGUUAGCUGGCAUGCAUUUCUCACUGACACUGGUCUCAGUUCUUCUUGGCUUUCCUUUAAAAGGUCCAUGACCCCAGGACACUGGCUGCCACUGUGGUUCCAUGCAGUUCCUGGGGUAGGGCCCUGUGAGAGAGAACUGACGGGCAGAUAGAGGUUCCGCUUUGCAUGCUUCCUUGACUUUGGAACCCUAGUCCUCAUAUGUGGCAUGUGGAUUCAUAGUCACUUGGGUGACUCUUGAGGGAUCUAGAGGAUGGUGAAGAUGCUUUGUCUGAAGCGAUUAUAAGCCUGUGGGGAUUGCUAUCAGUGAUGAAGGGAUGGGCAGGAACUGGAGACCAUCUCAGCAUUUUAUCUUGAGUAUAUCGUAGUUAGUAGUAAUGACAAUGGUGGCAGCGAAUACCGGAGGAGGAAGGACACAUAUCCAAAAGAGUGAACUGUAUUUGUGGGAACUGAAGGUACUGCUUCCUGCCAGAGUGCAUGAGUAUGGCAGAACAGGCUAGCAUAAACUGGUGGUGGCCAUAGUAACCCUCCCUAAUGCUGUGGCCCUUCAAUACACUUCCUCAUGUUGUGAUGGCCUCCAACUACUACUUUUAUUGUUACUUAAUAACUGUAAUUUUGGCUCUGAUAUGAAUCAUAAUGCAAAUAGCUAUAUGGAGGAUAUCUGAUAUUUGACUCCCGUGAAAGAAAUGGUCAUUUGACCCCAAAGAGGUCGCUAGGCAUAGGUGGUGAAUCAUUGUCUUAGUAGGUCAUGCUAACUACGAGCCCACUGAGUGUGGGACAGAACUCAGCAGUGGAUAGAAAGAGUUCACAGACUGAUCUCAUGGGAAUAGAUUCUUCAGUACAUGUUGAGCAUACAAACAUACUUAGAAGGAACUCUAUAGAUGUCUCUGAUUUUAAUUUUAAAGGACAUUUAAACAGUUGAGUUAAUUGAUAGGUUUCUUUAAAAGUUGGAUAGACGAAUAGUUAACUAUGUCAACAAAAUAUCAGAAUGCAUAUUUAGAACUGAAUCUAUUGGUAGAUGAGUGUUUAUUGUAAAAUUCUCUUGAAACUGCUGUCUUUAGAAUUUGCCUCAAGUGUCCAUGUGGAGUAAGGGAUUGUCUCAAGUUCAAUGCAGUGGAAAGUUUGCGUAGAAGGCUGAGAAUAUUUGCCUUGUCAAUUGAGAAGUCUUUCGUGACUUUGAGACUCUGUGGAGUGUGUGGUGCACAGAAGCCAGAAGAGACCAAUGAGUCGAUGGGUGAAUGGGAAUUCAUCAGAGGAGAUGACAAGCCAGAAUGGUCACAAAGGUCAUGUCAGCCUGUUCUAAAUUCCACAUGUGUGAAAAGCAAAACUGACUCUGAACACUCGCCUGAAAGUCUCAUGAGCCAAAGAAGAAAUUUAUUGGACUUUUAAAAGGCUUCAUCCAUUGGUGAUAUGCAUUCAUGUGGGUUCUCAAUUCUUCACUGUAGACACCAAACCAUAGGCAGCAUCCAUGCUCUCAGACACGACUCUGGUACUUUAUUCUCUUCCCUGGACAUUUGGUGUUGAGGAGCAAGCACUGAAAAUGAAAUGAAAUGAAAAAUGAUCAAACAUGAGAAAAUCGUACCAAUUCAUUCCCAGUCAUCUGAGUCACAAAUUUGCUGUGUGUCCCAAAUAAACUGUUACAGUGUUUGAUUGCUCA